CCCUUAGAUGUUCUGGGCCGCACGCGCGCUACACUGAUGCAUUCAACGAGUUUCUUCCUGGUCCGAGAGGAAUGGGUAACCUUUUGAAAGUGCAUCGUGAUAGGGAUAGACUAUUGCAAUUAUUGGUCUUCAACGAGGAAUUCCUAGUAGACGUAGUUCAUCAGACUGCAUCGAUUACGUCCCUGCCCUUUGUACACACCGCCCGUCGCUCCUACCGAUUGAAUGCUCAGGUGAGCCAUUCGGACUUUCAUCAUGCUGGUUUCCAGUUUUGAUGAAGGAAAGUCUUGCGAACCUUAUCAUUUAGAGGAAAGAGAAGUCGUAACA
rnacentral:rRNA from 1 species